rnacentral:rRNA from 1 species
GUCAGCCGCCGCGGUAACACCGGCGGCCCGAGUGGUGAUCGUGAUUAUUGGGUCUAAAGGGUCCGUAGCCGGUUUGGUCAGUCCUCCGGGAAAUCUGAUAGCUCAACUAUUAGGCUUUCGGGGGAUACUGCCAGACUUGGAACCGGGAGAGGUAAGAGGUACUACAGGGGUAGGAGUGAAAUCUUGUAAUCCCUGUGGGACCACCUGUGGCGAAGGCGUCUUACCAGAACGGGUUCGACGGUGAGGGACGAAAGCUGGGGGCACGAACCGGAUUAGAUACCCGGGUAGUCCCAGCCGUAAACGAUGCUCGCUAGGUGUCAGGCAUGGCGCGACCGUGUCUGGUGCCGCAGGGAAGCCGUGAAGCGAGCCACCUGGGAAGUACGGCCGCAAGGCUGAAACUUAAAGGAAUUGGCGGGGGAGCACAACAACGGGUGGAGCCCUGCGGUUUAAUUGGACUCAACGCCGGACAACUCACCGGGGGCGACAGCAAUAUGUAGGCCAAGCUGAAGACUUUGCCUGAAUCGCUGAGGAGUGGUGCAUGG